ACCAUCCUCAAACUGCUGUUGAUCAAACAUGCCUUGGCUAAGUCUAAAUGGGGGUUUUGUGGAUAGAAUAAGACACAGUAGAAGCAGGUCAAGCAUUUCCCUGGGUUAAAACACAACCAUCGAGGAAGCUGAUGGGAGGUGCUGAUUCCAAAAGCCAGGGAAGAAGGACCAUUCACAGAAACAGCAUCACACAACCAGCAAGGAGAGCUGCUUGUGCAUUGCACGUUUACAUGUGUUGAGCGUCUCUAAAAGCAGCCCCCCAGCCAUGCUCUGGCCAUAUCAGCUGGACUGUUUAUCACAAAUUCACAGAGUAGUGUCAUAUCUACAAUAAGCCAAAAUAGUCAGCCCCCAUUUCAGCUUAAAGUGGCUUUUUAGAUGCCAAGGCCUAUCUGUAGACCAGAUGUCCAAAUGGAAACCAACCAACCAAA